CUCAAUUUGCUCUUUCGUUCCUGUAAGCAUUUUCAAUUAUAAAGUAUGUGUAGAUCAAAAAAUUCCAAAUAUCAGAAGUAAAUAUCCUUUUAAGUGGGUAUUGCCCCUAUUUUUAAAUAACUAUUUUUGUCGACAGUUGCCUCCGGUAAAUGGAUUCAUGUGCUGUGUACUAAUUUGUGCGUCUCAACCAUAAAACGUUGAGUAGCCUAGUCAACCUUACUUGAAUGAUCGCCCUUUUCGCUACGGAUUUUUCUAUCCAAUAGGGACGGCAGGCAAAUCAGCGAAUAAUCACAAAGGGAUUUCCACUACACUUUGGAGCAACACCAUAGUUUCCGUGCUUCCAACGACACCGGACAG